rnacentral:rRNA from 1 species
GUCAGCUCGUGCCGUGAGGUGUGGGUUAAGUCCCGCAACGAGCGCAACCCUAUUGCCAGUUGCUACCAGGUAAUGCUGGGCACUCUGGUGAGACUGCCCCGUUAACGGGGAGGAAGGUGGGGACGACGUCAAGUCAUCAUGGCCCUUACGCCUAGGGCUACACACGUACUACAAUGGCGCAUACAAAGGGCAGCGAUACCGCGAGGUGGAGCCAAUCCCAAAAAGUGCGUCCCAGUCCGGAUUGCAGUCUGCAACUCGACUGCAUGAAGUUGGAAUCGCUAGUAAUUCGAGAUCAGCAUGCUCGGGUGAAUGCGUUCCCGGGCCUU